AGUGAACGCUGGCGGUAGGCCUAACACAUGCAAGUCGAACGGCAGCGCAGUAAGAGCUUGCUCUUACGGGUGGCGAGUGGCGGACGGGUGAGGAAUACAUCGGAAUCUACUUUUUCGUGGGGGAUAACGUAGGGAAACUUACGCUAAUACCGCAUACGACCUACGGGUGAAAGCAGGGGAUCUUCGGACCUUGCGCGAUUGAUUGAGCCGAUGUCGGAUUAGCUAGUUGGCGGGGUAAAGGCCCACCAAGGCGACGAUCCGUAGCUGGUCUGAGAGGAUGAUCAGCCACACUGGAACUGAGACGCGGUCCAGACUCCUACGGGAGGCAGCAGUAGGGAAUAUUGGACAAUGGGCGCAAGCCUGAUCCAGCCAUACCGCGUGGGUGAAGAAGGCCUUCGGGUUGUAAAGCCCUUUUGUUGGGGAAGAAAAGCAGCAGGUUAAUACCCCGCUGUUCUGACGGUACCCAAAGAAUAAGCACCGGCUAACUUCGUG
rnacentral:rRNA from 1 species